rnacentral:misc_RNA from 1 species
GUGAUACUUUGUUCAAUUUUAGUGACUUGUUAUAUGGAAUAUGUUUCUUUGUUAGCCCAAUGGGUACUUCGGCUAUAAUAGUUAUUGUGUCAGAGAAGAGAUUAGCCUCUCACAUUGGCUUAUUAAUGUGCUUGUCCUCGCGUUAAUAAAUGACUCUCCAUAUAUUUGCAAGAGGGGUACUUUUAUCUUGAAUAUGGUUUAGAGGGGUUUGACUUGGAUGUGGUUACCUUUUCAAAUGUCUAAUAUGAUUUUCUAACCAAGUGGACUAUAUGGGCUUCAACCAUCCAUUUAGCUCUGCCAUCUUCACAUGUGAGUACAGCUCUUUUCAUACAUACGGUUACUUUGCUCUAUGAACUUCCACCUGUUGUCAAUGCAGGAGCUACCUGAAUAUUUUUAAGUGUAUCAACU